rnacentral:rRNA from 1 species
UACGAAGGGGGCUAGCGUUGCUCGGAAUUACUGGGCGUAAAGCGCACGUAGGCGGCUUUCUAAGUCGGGGGUAAAAUCCUGGAGCUCAACUCCAGAACUGCCUUCGAUACUGGAAAGCUCGAGUCCGGGAGAGGUGAGUGGAACUGCGAGUGUAGAGGUGAAAUUCGUAGAUAUUCGCAAGAACACCAGUGGCGAAGGCGGCUCACUGGCCCGGUACUGACGCUGAGGUGCGAAAGCGUGGGGAGCAAACAGG